GGGGCUGUUUUUCAUGGUUCGGGCUAGGCCCCUUAGUUCCAUUGAAGGAAAAUCUUAACACUACAGCAUACAAUGACAUUCUAGAUGAUUCUGUGCUUCCAACUUUGUGACAACAGUUUGGGGGAGGCCCUUUCCUGUUUCAGCAUGACAAUGCCCCCGUGCACAAAGCGAGGUCCAUACAGAAAUGUUUUGUCGAGAUCAGUAUGGAAGAACUUGACUGGCCUGCACAGAGCUCUGAUCUCAACCCAAUCGAACAUCUUUGGGAUGAUUGGAAUGCCGACUGUGACCCAGGCUUAAUAGCCCAACAUCAGUGCCUGACAGCAAAGGGGGGGACCAAUUCCAUAUUAAUGCCCAUGAUUUUGGAAUGAGAUGUUUGACAAGCAGGUGUCCACAUACUUUUGGUCAUGUAGUGUAUUUACAUUUUGAGUGCAUUUUCCAAAUGUUAAACAUACUAACUAUGUUUUGUAUUACAGGUGAAAAUCUGAAAAUGAUUGACCAUUUGUCAGACGAUGCUAAAGAGCGGAUGGUUGUGGCAUGCUCUGCGUUCAGUUCUGUCUCAGAUAAAGUCAUCAACGGCAACAUCCAGAUGAAGACUCUCAGCAAAGUCCUCUCAAGGAGAACAACAUUCAUUGAGCUUUUGAAGAUAGAUGGCCUGUGUGAAGAUGGUCGUUGUAAGGACGACACCACUAUGAACAGAUUACUGAGAUUUAGAGAAGAAGAAAUGGAGAAUGUGAACAGUUACAAGAAGAUGGUUGAGGGCCUAGUUAUAAUUUGUCUCCAACUCCAGGAGCAUCUGAAAGGUGAGUUAAAUUGUAUUUGAUAAGGGUAUACAUUAAAGCUUAUGUUAUUGGUACUGUUUAUCAAAUAUUUGUUAAUGUAUGACUGCAUGAUGUAACAGUCUUGGUCCUGGUUCUCAUUGAUGUCAUAUUAAUUCACAGUCGAUGUGAAAGAGCUGGAGCUCAAAA
rnacentral:lncRNA from 1 species